GGGAAGUCCGAGAUGGUGGAGCCGGUCUCCACUUGUUGGGGUUUCGGCUCCGCUGUGGGAUCCGCCUCUCCUCUUCCUGCCCGCGGAACAGCGAGUGUCCGUCAGCGCCUCACUGCACCGGCUCUCUGCCUCAGGCCACCUUGGCUGAACAGAGGAGCACCUUCUGUAACAGACUAAGACAACUCUGCUGCUCAGAAGAACGCUGUAUGAAGUCAUUCUUACACUGGGCCGUCAGGGUCAAUAAUGAGUCAACCUAUAGCCGGGGAAGUGACCCCCCCCCCCCAUGUUCGACUGUUGGAGAUUAUCGACUCCAGUACCUGAAAUGAAGUUAACUGGGCUACAGUUACCUGCUUUUCAUCUUCCACCCUCCUUCAACAAUGGUUUUCAUCUCCACGGGGACCUUUCUGUAACA